CAAAAUUCUGUCCAAAUUUUCUGUUUGAUAGUUUUAUUGUUUCUGAAAUUCAAAUUAAUAUUUACCCACCGUUGUAAUGAAAGGACACCUCUCAUUCCUUUCACCAUAAUCUUUACCUUCUCAACGAGAGGAUAUUCCGAAGAUUUAAUCAUUAGAUUUCAGUAUAUUGCAUUUCUUUUAGGAUUCUCGCCUAUAAAACCCUAAUCCCACCCAACGCUCCAAAAAAUUUCAAUGGCGUUAACUAGAAGCGUCGACUGUCAAUUGAAAUUGAAGGAAAAUGAUUCAAUUCGGAAAAAUAAUAAAAGGAAACGAUUUUCAAGCCAACAAAAAUCUUGGCCACGAAUGGGAAACAAUAUUUGGCUUCGGGUCUGUUAGGAAUUCGAAUUCCAAGAAGGUAAUACGCUAUACAUAGACGUAUAUGUGUUUAAUCCCGUUACUUUUUAUCUAGGGCAUUGUUUAAUUUGUACGUUGAUUAGGCACUGUUUACCAUGUAAUUUUACAUUGGGGGUGGCUUCAAUAUGUUCUUACUUAUUUGUUAAUCCCUUAACUUUUUGAAUUACGCUAUAUUCUAUAUGGGUUUUCCUCUACUUGGCAUCAAUUUACGUUGAACUAUGUGAAUAUGUGUAAUACUUCUCUUCUAUGCAUUAUUUCUGAUCCUUCUGUAAUAGGGCUGCUUGUUGGGAUGUUGCUUUAUUCUAAUUUUUAGAUUUUCUUGCGUUCAAGUUGCAAUUGUACUUGUAUUGUUUUUCGAAGAAACAUUGUGGCUUCUUGUUCAAUUCUAUGUAUUUAGGUUUUAAUUAUUUUAUCGAUUCUCCAGUUAUUUGAUUUAAUAUUUGUUCUUUCCGAAAUUAGUUUAAAGAUCCAUUUUUUAUUUGUUUUUAUGUCUUUUCAACUUUUCAUUGCGUGGUUGGCAAUAUAUCAUCUCCUCAGCCAACUGGUUUCUGAGGAAAAUAGCCAUUUGUUCUACCACCAACUUCAUCAUGAAUUGGUACAUAACCUGAUUAAGGAACAAGGGAUAGUUUUAAAGAUACAAGAAUUUCAUACUAUAUUAAAUUUAAUGAAUCUCAUUUCAGCCUUAGUUGAUAGACUAUGUAUUGAUGAGUAAGGUUAAGCAACCGAAUAAAGAGAUAAUGUGGUUCAAGAUUACCGACAGAUACAUCAAAUUUUCUUUGCCAGAAUUAUACUUUGUCAUCGGUCUAGAAUCAAUCGGAGAUUAUGACGGGAAGAAGUAUGGAAAAAGAUCUUCAAAUUUCAGCAUCGCAUACUAGAAAUUUUGGAUUUUAAAAAAUGCUGGUGUGAAAGAUGUUUUAAUCGGCGUAGACGGUGCAUCUGACUAUGAUGCCGUGAAAAUAGGCAUUUUAUACCUGUUUGCAUCUUACUUGUAUGUAACUCAUAAAAGAAAAUGGUUAACAAAUCUAUUUUUGCUCUUGUUGAAAAUUUCAAUGUAAUGGAGAUGAUUUUAUGGAGAAAAGAAGAUGUUCAAGACCACACUAUCAUCAAUUAGGAAAGGACUGAAAUAGGGCUGGUCACUACCAUAUGAAAUGUUUUUUGAUUACAUAUCGAGUAGUACGAGUCAGUUCUGAGUCUGAAUGGAACAUUUGCACAAGACUUCAUCGAUGGUGGCCCUGCAUCAUGAACUGGACUGGCAGAGAAGCAUCCAUCGGUAGCCAUGCUGGAGGAGGGAGUUUUUUUCAAACCUGAUAUUGAAGUUAAGGAUAUUGAUCCUUUGGGUAUUGAGUUGGUGAUGGGAUAUGACUGGAGUUACUUAUAUGUCCCCUCAAUAACCAUAUUUGAUCAAGUAUGUUGAUGUUGAAGAACACCCGUGCAAAGUCUCAACAUGAAUUCAAACUCCUCAUUAAGUAGCACUCAUCUGGAUAUAUGCUUUUAUUACAUCCAUCAAUUGGCAAGAUUCGAGGAUAAUGCUCAAAUGCAUUUUUGAGUCUAGGUCACCAACUUCCUAGACCUUCCGACACUGGGCAGACAUCAGCUCCCAUACAUGGUCUUACGUGGUAACUUUCAAAUUUAGAAAAACCCUGGAAUUAAUAAAAAUGGGCAAUCCUGAGCCAAAUCUUGUUUUCCCAAACUAAAGCUUUUCUCUUUUAUUCUGUACUAAUUGCUGUGGCUUAGUGACAUUUUUGGAGUAAGGAGAGGGGUAAGAUUAAGGAUGUACAUUCGGCGUGGCUCACAUUUUGGAGGUCUAGUUGACAUGACUUAAAAUUCUU